rnacentral:lncRNA from 1 species
CUUAACCCCUAGAACACAUCAACGGGAGAAACAAAAGAGAAUUCUUCGAGGAAGUAAAGUGGUGCAGCGUUCACGUGUCAACCACAAUUGAGAAUUACAGGUGAGUGUGUCAAUGUUCAUUGAUCCAUUCAAUGCUAAGAUAUACGAAUGCAUCGUUUGACAUGAAUUGCUAUAGCCUGAGUUGUCGUCGUUAUUUGGUAUAUGUGUGACGGGACCAGAAUGAUGACAAGAAUGAUUAAGGAAUUGUUGGAAUAAUAAAGUGGCGGUGGAGUUAGGUGAAGUAGCAGUAGUAGUACGAAAGUUCUUAGUUAGUUCUCUAUUGUUAAGGUUAGGUUAAGUUAGUGGAAAAAAUUAUAAUUAUUAUAAUGUGGUCAAAUUAGUGUGUAGAGAUUAGGCAUGUAUUAGAUAUCAUUCUAUAAAUCUUGUUUCACAAUGGUCCUUCAUUAGCUUAACAUGACAAAGUAUAAAGAAUUGGCACUACUACGGAGGGUGAAUGUUAAUUAUCUGUUAUGUGAACGACCUACAGAACCACUACGUUGUAUGAUUGUUUGAUGCUUGGGGUUAUUUAUCUUAUAAUGAAUAUUCUUGGCAUUACUGUUGAGGAGAAUUUUCCUUGGUAACGAUAAAAGAAGAAAAGAUGUUAUGAAUGAGAGUUGGGAGGCAGUGACUUUAAUCGGGUCAUUGGGCAGCCACUGUUUCAAUGGUUGACUUUAAUUUUAAAGUAAACCCUAAUUAAAUUAAAAUAAUCAUAAUAGUAGGGUUUUGGUUAGAUUCGUACUUUUAUAGGGAUUAUAUUUUUGAACAUAUUUUAAUCAUUUGGAGACCUUACGGAAGGGCAAGACCCUUACAAAUGAGCUUGCAUUUGGAUUCUUCGGUGGAGGUAGGUUACGGUUUAAUUGGAGUUUAGACUCAAUUUAAUUGUGUGUAUGCUCCUAAAUUGGAUACUUGUGGAUUGAUAUUCGGACAUUCUUGAAAUUGUUGAUGUUUGGAUUGUUGAUUUGUGUAUAAAUGUUUAUUGAAAAUUGACUUGAUUGAAUUGUCUUAUGACUUUAAGUGUACUUGUAAACAUGGUACAUUGUGUGGCAUGCUGUGAGGUUGUGUAAAUUGAUAUUGAUAAGACUUGAUUAUAUUUAUGUUAGAUCGGGUACCACGCUGGUAUGUUUAUAUUUAUGUUGGAUCGGGUACCACAUCGGUACGUUUAUAUUUAUGUUAGAUCGGGUACCACGAUGGUACGUUUAUAUUUAUAUUGAAUCGGGUACCACACCGGUACGUUUAUAUUUAUGUUGGAUCGGGUACCACGCCGGUACGGUACAUGAACAUAGAUUGUUCCCUGCAGGUCAGGACUAUUUGGGCAAAAAUAAGUCCCAUAGCAUGUGUGUACAUAUUUGUGUUAUUUCUGUGGUUGUUUACAGUAUGGUUGAUACUCUUGAUGGUUAUGUGACUUAUUUGUGAGCACUGUUUGACCUGUUGUUGCUGUAUUAUUAAUUCAUUGAAUAUUUGUUGUGUGACGAUGCCUGUCUACUUGUUAUUUGAUUUAUGUUGUAUAUAUGCUAUUAAAUUGAGUUGUCCUAUGAUACCUACCAGUACAUAGUUGUUUGUACUAAUACUACCCUGUACUCUUCUUUUGUUGAGUGCAGAUAGUGUUCUAGGCUCAGACAUGACCUCACCUUCAGAGUUUGAUAGCAGAUUUUGAUCCAAGGGUGAACACUCCGUCUCUAGGCUGCCACGGGUCAUCUUAUUUGUUCUUAUCCAUCUUUCGAGCAAUGAAGCAUUCUUUAUUUACUUUAUUUUUUUAUAUCACUUUAGAUAUGAUCUUUGUUAGUAGUUCUUCUACGAUGACUUUCGGGUCUUGUGGAUUUUUAUAAGUAGUUUGUUUGACUUCUGCAUUAAUAAUAAUUAGUCUUGGAUAUUUG